UUCCCGUUCCCGGGGCGGGCCCGGCGGGCGGUGCUUUGUGCGGCGGUGGCGGGGCCGGGCCGGGCCGGGGCCAUGGAGCGCUGGACCGGCCGUGUGGCGCUGGUCACCGGCGCCUCGGUGGGCAUCGGCGCGGCCGUGGCGCGGGCGCUGGUGCAGCACGGCAUGAAGGUGGUGGGAUGCGCUCGCAGCGUCGAUAAGAUCGAGAAGCUGGCAGCUGAGUGCCAGAGUGCCGGCUACCCGGGCACGCUGAUCCCGUACAAGUGUGACCUGUCCAACGAGGAGGAGAUCCUGUCCAUGUUCUCGGCCAUCAAGACCCUUCACCAGGGUGUGGACGUCUGCAUCAACAACGCGGGGCUGGCCCGGCCCGAGCCCCUGCUCUCGGGGAAGACAGAGGGCUGGAGAACCAUGAUAGAUGUGAAUGUGAUGGCUGUGAGCAUCUGCACCCGGGAGGCCUAUCAGUCCAUGAAGGAGAGAAACAUUGACGAUGGACACAUAAUUAACAUUAACAGCAUGAACGGGCACAGCGUGGUGCCCCAGUCCGUGGUGCACUUUUACAGUGCCACCAAGUACGCGGUGACGGCGCUGACCGAGGGGCUGCGGCAGGAGCUGCGCGAGGCCAGGACCCACAUCCGAGCCACAGAUGUGCUCUGCUUUAUUCCAGUGUAUAUCUCCAGGACUGGUGGAAACAGGAUUUGCUUUUAAACUUCAUGAUAACGACCCCGAGAGGGCUGCUGCAACCUAUGAGAGCAUUCGGUGUCUCAAGGCUGAAGAUAUGGCCAAUGCUGUCAUCUAUGUCCUCAGUGCCCCUCCUCAUGUACAGAUCGGGGAUAUACAGAUGAGGCCCACGGAGCAGAUCUCCUAGCAGAGGAGGAGGAUGAGGAGCACCACAAGCAGCACCGUGUCCACUCCACCUGGAACCCUCUGGCAGCCCAGGGUUCCCUCGGCUGGCUGGCAGCGUUUUAAUCAAGUACCAAGGAUCAUGUUUGAAGAAUUAUUUUUCUCUCCCUCUCUCUGAGCUGGUGCUGGUGCUGAGCCAGUUUGAAAAAAAACAACAAAACCAGAACCACAAACUCUUAGUGGGCCUCUUUCUCCCCCACUCCUUUCUGAAACUGCUUAAGAGUAAAAAUGUAUUUGAAAAUAAUGCAGGGAAGUGGUUUGUGGAAGAUUGUUUGUCUCCAGGCUGGUUUAUUCUUCCUUUUGCUUUCUUUUCAAGGUUUGUUUGAUCUUAGUUGCUGAUGCUGUGUGUGGACCUAGGUGAAGUGGCACAGGAUGUUUGCCAGCUUCAGUGUGCUUAGGGUUUGAGAUUUUCAGUGGGUGACAUACAUGAAUCCAUCUAUUGAUUCUAUCUAUGAAUCCAUACCUUGAGUUUAUUUUCAUGGGGUUGAUUACUGAUGGUGAUGAUGCAUGUGAUGUUUUCUUUUUCUUUUGUACCCCACUGCUCUAACCCCAGUGUACAACCUCCCCCAGCCCUCCUUUCCCCUUCACAUGAAUCAUGCCUGCCAAGUUUGAGGAAGUAUAAAUGUGUGUGCUUGAUAUUUCUCUUUUUUUCUAGGUAGGUAAUUAGCUGGAGGAAAAGCACCUGUCCCUGGGCAGGUUAGGAUGAUAAUCUAAGUGGCAUAGUUACAGUAAGAGUGAGUUGUUUGGUAUUUUUAAUAAAAACUAAACGUGUGCUGUCUUGUGAUCACCUCUAUCCUUGGUAUCAUCUCCCAGCACUCUCGAUGUUCUGUAUGUGAUAUUUGCAUGCAUUGACACUUUUCUGGAAAUGUGGAUUGCUCUGGUGCUGUUGAAAUGCUGGUGCUGAGGAGCUGGAAAUGGUGGAAGUUUAUUUUUAUGUAGAGACACAAACCCUGAGAGAGAGAGAGAGAGAGAGAGGGAGAUGGAGAUGGAGUGGAACGAGCCGUGCCGAAGGUGUCUGGAACGAGGAGAGGUUUCCAGGGACAUUUGGGCUACAAAAAGCAGCAGGUGAAAGGUCUGGCUGAGGUCUCGUGUUGGGGCAGCCCCGGUGUUUGGCUUUGGGUUUACUCUGAGUUGAGGGAGAAGAGAAUGGGCCCCAGAGCAGAGCUGGAGACUCUCUGCAGGGAGGUCUGCGUGUGUCCAGCUCUCUGUGCAGCUCCUGGACACGUUGCCUUAAGAUUGCAGACCCUGUCCAGCUCCUGCUGGGCUCCAGGCAGCGUUUCAGAAGGUCAGGGAUGGUCAGUUGGUCAGAGCAGAGGACAGAGAGCGUGGGAAAUUGGGCUUGGAUUGUUUGGCUUACACCAGGAGAGCCCUGGGAGCUCAUCUGUGUUACCCCUGCACAAGGGGACCGGAGCUGGGCCACCAAGACACGAGUUCAGCUCCCUGUACAGCCUUGGGCAAGUCACUUUACCUCUCUGCCUCAGUUUCCCCACCUGGAAAAUGGGGAUAGUAACACUCACCUACCUCACAGGGGUGUUGUGAGGACUCACGAGCUUUUGUAAAGCACUUUGACCACGACAGGCGCUGUGUAAGUGCUGAGUGUUGAUACUGAAGUAUUAUUAUGAAUUAAACUUGUGAUACCUAGAAUUCCUUGUGCCAAAGGUGAGCAGCUGUAGGAGGAUACAAGGAGAAAACUGGCAAAAUGUUCCUUUUCAUGAUGGCAAAAACAAAAGGCAAUUUUCCCCUUUUUUUUUCCUCUUUAUUAACACAUGGUGUGUUCUGUCCAUUCCUCACCUGUGGCCAGUUUCUACUGACAAGUGCACCUGGAUUUGGCUUUUUAAUUCAUUGUGAGUGAGAUCCCUACCCCUUGGGAAGUCUUGCACUGUCCUGCUCCAGGAUGCCAAGGUGGUGCCCUUGUGUGGAUGCCCAGCAGGUACCCUGGGCAGUUCAGGAGAAGGUGGUUGAACUAAAGAGGCCAAAAAAAAAAAUAAAAA